CGUCGCUGUUCGGCACAAAAUGGCAAACGUCGAUCGACCUAAGACUUUUCAUUGUUGGUUUGGCCUUUAAGACCGUGAGUGACAGUUGAAGUUAACGGCGUGUUUCUAUGCGUGUAACGGAUGCGGCGGCAGACGCGGGCGACAGUCUUGAAAUUUCACGAGAAGACAAGAGGGCCAGUGGGUCAGGUCCGGCGAGCGUUGGUACCCUUGGCCGACGGCCAUCUUUCUUGGCCGCUUAAAAAAGCGUCUCCGCAUCGAGCUGUCUAGACUGGAUGGCGGUGGUCCUGACUAUUCUAAUUGAUUUAUUAGAACCAAUGGAUUCUUUGUUGAUAUCGACUCGGUGUCAUUACGGGUUGUACGUCUUGGUAGAAUUAACACUCCCGUCGCCGGUUUAACCUUAUGGUGCACCCUUGUCGUUACAAAAGUUUUAUACCGACGGCGUAUGUUGAGGAUCGAAAAAACUAAGCAUGGAACUAUAUAGGUAUAAUAAGUUAUUGGCAAUGCAAACGAAUUCGUAUUAUAUCAAGAGACCGAUUACCGAAUGUCAAUCAAGAUAAGCGCAUCGGUUGCAUCUCGUGUUUUGCAGGGAAUUCUGCACGACUGGGAAAUCACACGCUUAGUCAUGUAACUUCUUAUUGUACUAGUCGUAGGACGCAUCGAGCGUUGCACCUGAACGGGAAACCUUUCCAGGUCAGAUCAUUUGUUACUCGACCUGUUCGCAACUGUAAACGUGGACCGCAACACUGGUGCAUGUGCAAUUAGCACCGACCAUUUCAGGCGGAUAUGCGCAGCGUGUGCAAAUUGUCUGUACAAGGGAUUGAUCUGCGUUGAAACCUGACAAGCAGAUAAUGAAGUUCGAUGUAAUCCUUAAGGAAUGCGCUAAUUACGUGCCACAGUGCUAAAGUAAGAAUCGCUUAUUGCAAAACUCGAUUUCUGGAUCUUAGCAUAAAUUAAAAAGAAACAUUCACAGUCGGAUAUUCAUUUCUCGUCAUCUUUCAAGUGAAACAAGUAAAAUCCUCAUUGACAAGAAUUUCGGAUUCCUUUGUUGGAACAUCAUAAGGCUGAUGGUCGCUGCCGAAAGGAGUCCCUGGUUCUUGUCGUACUAAGGUACGAUUUAAAUAGGAGCUAAGUGUUUUACUGAAAUGGAGGAAGUAGAUGUGUGCCCGUGUGUGUACACUAAAUACAGUUGUACAUAUGUUUGCCAAUUGAUAUUGAAAAUAUAAUUAAAAAACGUCCAAGGAAUAAUGACGUUGAAUAUUUUCGAUAAUGAUUCACGGCCGGAGAAACAAAUCAUGGAAGAAACAAAUUGUUGAGGCCCAACGUGUGAUAAUGAUAAAUCUGCAUGGGGGCUUCGGGUACCAUCGGCGAACAAUGCAAACUACGUCAGAAGAUCCAAACAGAUUCUAAAUAUAUAUCUACAAACGACUGCCGUUCCAAGAAAUCAAAAAGGACUCAACUUAAUGCGCAAUAUAUAAAAAGAACAAUGGAUCUUCCAUGAAUAGAAAAAAAGGAGAAGAGAAUUUCCAAAAACAUGGAAAAAAUAAUUCCGCGUACGAUCGCAGACAUUGCUAACUCCUUUAAAUUGACCUUAUUCAAAGAGACAUAUAAAGAAAAUUGAUUUCUUUGAUGCUCGCUGCCGUGCGAAUUAUUUUCGUCAUGCAAUGUUAUUACUAAAAAUAACCUUAAAAGAAAAUGGCUUGCAAAAGUCACGCAUAGGUGGAGAUAAUUUAUGGUGCCUUAUACUCAUCCGUUUCACCUAAAGGUGUCCUUCGAUAAAAUCGAUCAGAGUUCGUUGACUUUGCUAAACGCGCAUUGCACGACUGAUAGGCAGCCAUUUGCCCGCGACACGCAGCGCAGGAUGAUGAAACUUUUUCUCUGGGCGUAGUUUCUGCCUUCCGCCGUAUAUAUCGAGGAGAUAUUCCGUCCUUGCAUCAUUGUUUGGGAGACCUCCGACAGGAGAGACAUGGAUUUUGUCAGCUGAGUCUAAAGAGAGAAGAAAAAACUGGACUGACUAAUUUGCUCGGCCAAUUCUUUCAUCCGACUACUGGAAAUCAUUUGAAUUUCGAAACGAGUCAGCAGGAUAACCCCGAGCGUUAUCGUACGACACUCUGCUGAGUUAAUGCAACACGGUCUUGCAGGGGAAAAUACUGUGACCUUUGACAUUCGGUGAUCUUCGCGGGGGAUCAUCUGGACUAUUGACACCAUUGCAGUCGUAUCAUAUGCAUAAUGGCAUCAUGUGCUCUGAGUUGUAAACACAUUGGGUACUAGAUUACCUGCAAAUGUAUUUUUUUCUCCUUUAGAUGUUUCCUCGUUUCCAGUUAUCAUAACUUAUUAAGGAAUCAGUGGCUGAACGGGUGCUAAACGAUAGCGAGACGAUAAUUUAAUAUUUUUUUAAUUAUACAUUUCAGAAAUUUUUCUCUUUUCUGGUUAUUGUCACCCUCGAGGGGAUCAUGAGCUAGACAGUUGCUAAUUAUUGAUUUCAGAAUUUUUCCUCAUUUCUGGUUAUCAUGACUCUCUAGGGUAUCAGUGACUAGACGUUUACUGAAGCGCGGAUAGUCAAAUAUAUGUAUAAGGAAAUUUCCAUUCUGACUGAAGUCAGUUUCCACAGUUAUUUUUUGAUAUUGGACGAUUUCGAAGAAGGCAUAAUUCAUUAAGGUCACUAAUCGCUUCUCAUCACUUUAUUAUUUUUAGAUCCACUCACAGAUUGUCUUCUAUUUUCUAUUUUAUUUUAUAAACGUGUCGACCAAACUUCUUUAUAAUUCGAUAAUACACGUUCCUUCUAUUUCAUCAUUUACAUCCAGUCUCAAUAAUUUCCAACGUUCUAUAUAUCAUUUUCUCACUCCAUUACCAUUCAUAAGCUGAUACUGUCAUCGUCUGUCAUAUCACAAGAUUUAUUUUACCUAUAGAAGUCAGUGUACCAACCAAGUCACUUGCCUAUGGCUAUUCACCUAUAUGGCUACAUUAGGUAUAUGGAAACAUGCCACAUUAUAUAUAUAUUGUACACACUGAAUAUACAUAUGUCUGACAGAAUAACUUGCAUAUACAUAUAUAUAUAUUUGCAACAAUAAGGUCUCCAUAAUUUUUCAUUCAUCUCAAAUGUUGACCUCGAUUAAUAAAAAAAAAUGUAACCAGUCAACUUUCACCAGCCGGUUCAGUGUCAUAAAACUACUUUUUUUUCUUGGUCGUAAAAGUCACCAUUGCAGUUAUUACGUAUGAUGGUACAAAAACAUGGAAAAUUAAAAUAAAAAAAAAUUCAUUGUGAACUUGCGGCUAUGCGGAACUCUUAAUUUUGUGAGAUUAUAUCAUUAACGCUUGACCUCGAAAAUCAGCUGGCUAUCGUGAUUAAAUCGAAAAUUAAAAAAAAGACACCUUCCGCAUUUUCUCUAACAGUGUAGUUUCGUUAAAAAAAAACAGCCAUCGAAAUCAGUGAGUCACUUUAUGCGUCAAUCGUAUCCUUCGUUGCCCAAUAGAGAUCAAUACCGUUCAGGUAUUUAAAUUUUGAUGAUUAACAGCCGGUAUGUAUUUGAAACCUGUUACAGUUUAAUUGGAAAACAAUGACUUUCAUCAAACAUAUGGUGCACCAUUGCGACAUUGGAAUGUGUCGGAUUACCAAAUUAAUGUUUUCCCAGAAUAAUUUUCUGGAAAGGACAAGGAACGAAGAUUUUAUUGAAAUCACUGGAGAAAUCAUAGUUGGCCCAUCAAUAAGGUUCACUCAUUUAUAUGCUGCUUAAAAAUCUUCAACGUCACUAUUUGAGUGGUUACCAUGACAUUCUAAUCAAUGAUCCUGGACAGGAGGGAGAAGUUAAGAGUCACUGAUAACAACCUUCUUUAAUGGUCGGCGUGAUAGAUAACAGGCAUUAACGAAACGAAAUUAGACGAAACGAGGAUCCCGUAUGUGAAAUUAUAUUAGAAGAAGCCAUCGGCAUCGUGACAGGAAGAUUGCAAUGUAAAUUCUAGUCAGCCAACUUUGAAUUACUUGAAUCGUUGACAAACGUCGGAGAAGGAUUUUACAUUUAAAAAUAAUCGUUUCCGCAAAGAAUUGCGUGUCAGUUUCGACGUCAGAAGAAAAAGAACUAUCGCCACUUUCAUCUUGGAGCAGACUGAGAAGUACACGCCGAAGAUUUAAACUGCUUAUGCUAUUGCACUUCCGAGUUAUCUUUUUUAAAUCAAGAAAAUAAUAGCAAUAGCUAUUAUUCAAUAGAGAAAGCAUUCAUUCAAUAGAGAAAGAUACCAGUUAAAGUAAUUCUUGGAGUAAUCGUGAUUUUUGGUCUUUUGUGCUUUAAUACUGUAUUUAUUUUAAAUAUAUAUAUUUUUUAAGCAGCGACAUAAAUAUCGAAAUGAAAUUAGUUACUGAACUGCUGGAUAAGGAAACCGGAACUCUUACUGCCUCCAAUAUAUAACCGUUGAAGCCGAUUAGAUUUCAUGGUAGACAUGAAAUGAAACGAAGCUUGAAAUAAACUAGAUUGCGUGUAAAGUAAAGCUGCAAUGAAAAUGCAUUAUUUGAUAGACUACAGGCCAUUUAUAUUUUGCAUGCGGAAUAGUAUUAUCUUUGCCAAGUAAUCCAUUGAACGGAACGGAUUUACAAAUGAUAAAGCUGUUUAACCAACUGUCAGAUGUCAAUUUUGCAUUACGUAUGUCCCACAUGCAUUUUCCGUGUUAUCCUCAAAAUUAUUUCUUUGAAGAUGCACACAUUUGAACGUCACUGUCUACAUUUUAAAUGCCAUUGAAUCCUUAAGUCAUUUUCAAUUUUUCUUUUCGAAACGAAAAGCACACGUGAAAUUGAAAUGAAAGAUUUCCUGUAUAUACACGCAAACUACACGUACCGUCCAAAAGUCGUCCUAAAGAUGUUUAAUGCGACGGAGUUUA